GAUGAACGCUGGCGGCGUGCUUAACACGUGCAAGUCGAACGGGAUCCAAGGGGUGCUUGCACUUUUUGGUGAGAGUGGCGAACGGGUGAGUAACACGUGAGUAACCUGUCCUUUUCUUUGGGAUAAGCAUUCGAAAGGGUGUUUAAUACCUUAUGUUCUGUCUGCCUCGCAUGGGGUGGGUGGGAAAGGCUUUGGCCGGAUUUGGGUGGGCUCGCGGUCUAUCAGCUUGUUGGUGGGGUGAUGGCUUACCAAGGCUUUGACGGGUAGCCGGCCUGAGAGGGUGGUCGGUCACAUUGGGACUGAGAUACGGCCCAGACUCCUGCGGGAGGCAGCAGUGGGGGAUAUUGCACAAUGGGCGAAAGCCUGAUGCAGCGACGCCGCGUGGGGGAUGAAGGCCUGCGGGUUGUAAACUUCUUUUGCUCUGAACAAGGCAUGCCAGUGGGUGUGUUGAGUGUAGGGGUUGAUUAGCGCCGGCUAACUACGUG
rnacentral:rRNA from 1 species